CUAAGAAUAUUCCGCAAUGGGCGGAAGUCUGACGGAGCGACGCCGCGUGGAUGACGAAGGCCGAAAGGUUGUAAAGUUCUUUUGCUGGGGAAGAAUAACCGCAGGAGGGAAUGCCUGUGGGAUGACAAGAACCGGCGAAUAAGCCCCGGCCAACUACGUGCCAGCAGCCGCGGUAACACGUAGGGGGGCGAGCGUUGUUCGGAAUUACUGGGCGUAAAGGGCAUGUAGGCGGCUUGGAAAGCCUGGCGUGAAAGUCUGCAGCUUAGCUGCAGGGGUGCGCUGGGAACUGCUGAGCUUGAGUGACGGAGAGGGAGCUGGAAUUCCUGGUGGUAGGGGGUGAAAUCUGUAGAUAUCAGGAAGAACACCGAUGGCGAAGGCAAGCUCCUGGCCGAUGACUGACGCUGAGGUGCGAAAGUGUGGGGAUCAAACAGGAUUAGAUACCCUGGUAGUCCACACAGUCAACGAUGUGCACUAGGUGCUGGGGCGGUAGCUUCGGUGCCGGAGCGAACGUGGUAAGUGCACCGCCUGGGGAGUAUGCUCGCAAGGGUGAAACUCAA
rnacentral:rRNA from 1 species